GCUAAAAUGAUUGUGCUGGAAAAUUGGUUAGUGUUUGAAGGGCAAUGAUGCAGAGCGAAAACUCUGUUGAAGAUUCGCUUCAUAUCCGCAAGCUGGAGGUUACUGAUAAAGAAAAAGGCUUUAUUGAAUUGCUGAGACAAUUGACUGUCUGUGAUUCUGUUUCGGACGAGAGAUUUAAGGAGAGAUUUGAAGAAAUCGCGAAAUAUGGGGAUGAUCAUUGUAUUUGUGUGAUCGAAGAUGUUCGAUUAGGGAAGAUUGUUGCUACUGGAAGUGUGUUUAUUGAGAAGAAGUUUGUGAGGAAUUGUGGUAAAGCUGGACAUAUUGAGGAUGUUGUGGUCGAUUCGAGUGCUCGUGGGAUGCAAUUAGGUAAGAGAAUUGUUGAAUAUCUUGCUCAUCAUGCUCUUUCAAUGGGGUGUUAUAAGGUAAUCCUUGAUUGCACUGAAGAGAAUAGACCUUUUUAUGAGAAAUGUGGUUUUAAGAAGAAAGAAAUUCAGAUGGUUAAGUAU
rnacentral:misc_RNA from 1 species